rnacentral:rRNA from 1 species
UAACUGUAGUAAUUCUAGAGCUAAUACAUGCAACUAUGCCCUGACCCGCAAGGGAACGGGUGCAUUUAUUAGAACAGAACCAACCGGGUGUGGUCUUGGCCAUGCUCGUUGCAUUCUGUGAUGACUCUGGAUAACUUUUCUGAUCGCAGUCGGCCUUGUGUCGGCGACGGAUCUUUCAAAUGUCUGCCCUAUCAAUUUUCGAUGGUAGGUGACCUGCCUACCAUGGUUAUAACGGGUAACGGGGAAUCAGGGUUCGAUUCCGGAGAGGGAGCCUGAGAAACGGCUACCACUUCCAAGGAAGGCAGCAGGCACGCAAAUUACCCAAUCCCGGCACGGGGAGGUAGUGACGAAAAAUACGGAUACGGGUCUUAUUUGAGGCUCCGUAAUUCGAAUGAGUACAA